rnacentral:lncRNA from 1 species
GAGUCAGUACCCACACUGGCAAUAUUGCUUCGCACUUUAGAGAAUUUGAUAAUUUUGGAGUGAAUUUAAGUUGCUUUCAGCCUUUCAGAACAUGGUGCUAUCUGAGACCGGGUGUUAUAAGGAAGAAAGCAUGACUUUGAGACAAAGUUUCCCUCUCUACCUCUGCUUCUUUCCCUUCUUAUCAUCACUAAUGUUUUCCUAAAAGGCAGGCAGUUAGAGAACGGGCUACGGCAUCAUUUCAGAGGACUCAGAGCUUAUAACCAAGCCACGCACAACAUCCAAUGAAAAAACUGGAUUACUUGAUGGGAUUUGUCAUGUACAAGCUUGAAGACAAUGUAUGAGUGUUAUAUUAUUCUCAUGUUUCCAUAAAACCCAAUAUAAAAGAAAAAAUGUUUUCCCCUGGCU